CCUACGGGUGGCAGCAGUGAGGAAUAUUGGUCAAUGGACGAGAGUCUGAACCAGCCAAGUAGCGUGAAGGAUGACUGCCCUAUGGGUUGUAAACUUCUUUUAUAUGGGAAUAAAACGUUCCAAGUGUGGGAUUUUGUAUGUACCAUAUGAAUAAGGAUCGGCUAACUCCGUGCCAGCAGCCGCGGUAAUACGGGGGUUCCGAGGGUUAUCCGGAUUUAUUGGGUUAAAGGGGGCGUAGGUGGAUUGUUAAGUCUGUUGUGAAAGUUUGCGGCUCAAGCGUAAAAUUGCAGGUGAAACUGGCAGUCUUGAGUACAGUAGAGGUGGGCGGAAUUCGUGGUGUAGCGGUGAAAUGCUGAGAUAUCACGAAGAACUCCGAUUGCGAAGGCAGUUCACUGGACUGCAACUGACACUGAGGCUCGAAAGUGUGGGUAGCAAACAGGAUUAGAUACCCCUGUAGUC
rnacentral:rRNA from 1 species